rnacentral:rRNA from 1 species
GACGAACGCUGGCGGCGUGCCUAACACAUGCAAGUCGAACGGAGAUUUCAGCAAUGGAAUCUUAGUGGCGAACGGGUGAGUAACGCGUAGACAACCUACCUUCUAGAUGGGGACAACACUGCGAAAGUGGUGCUAAUACCGAAUGUUGUAUGUGAAACGCCUGUUUCACAUACUAAAGGUGGCCUCUAUUUAUAAGCUACCACUAGAAGAUGGGUCUGCGUUUGAUUAGCUAGGUGGUGAGGUAAUGGCUCACCAAGGCGACGAUCAGUAGCCGGGCUGAGAGGAUGAACGGCCACACUGGGACUGAGACACGGUCCAGACUCCUACGGGAGGCAGCAGUGGGGAAUCUUCCGCAAUGGACGAAAGUCUGACGGAGCAACGCCGCGUGAGUGAAGAAGGUUUUCGGAUCGUAAAACUCUGUUUUCAGGGACGAAUGUGUAAUAUGUGAAUAAUGUGUUGUAAUGACGGUACCUGACAAGAAAGCCACGGCUAACUACGUGCCAGCCGCCGCCGUAA